GCGUGUACCAUGGAUGGAAGGCAGGUGUCGACGGGAGCGUCAAAACAAAGCAACAAGAAAGAAACGUCAAAACAAAGCACUAGCGCCUUUUAGCAGCUCCCCUCCCGGCCGAAGCCAUAUCAUUAAUAAUCCUGUUUAUAUUUAGGGGCUUCGCCUCCCAUAUUCGGCUUCGGGGGGGCGGAAAACGAUUUCACCGUGCCACCGCCUCUAAGAACUCUCUCCCCCUCUUUCCCUUUUUCUUCCUCUCUCCUCUCCGUGUUCAUCAUCGGGGUUUUUGAUUUCCGUUGGCUCGAGUUCGAGAUUUUCGCAAUAUGACACUUAAUGGAAAAUUUUCCCUGUGACAACCAGAGGAAGUGCUGCUUUUGCAUUAUGCCUGCUUCUGAUUCAAGGUCAGAGGUAUUUCUGCUGUCUGGAUUUCCUGCCUGGAUUAGGUCUGUUCCUCCUGGUUUCCAUCCUAGAUAUGUAGAUGACCAAGAUCAAGCUUUUUCAACCUUACACAUUCUGGCUCUAUUGCUCAAUAACAGAUUUCUGGAAAUUCACUCUGUAUAAAUUCCUCUCAAGAGGUUCCCAGAUAUAACAAUUAUAAUGAUCUUCAGCUUAAUGGUUCUGCAACAGUGUUACUUUGUAAAAGGAAACUGCCACAGUCAGUGACACAGCGACUUCUCCUAUCUCUAACUCGAUCAAUGUUGCCAAGGCUGACCAGAGGCUUCAUUCUGAGGCAAGACUGGGAAUUUUGACUCAAAAUCUGGUAAACUUUAAUGAAUCAAAGCAGGAAUAUAGCUUUACAGGAUGCAGUGAAAAGUUAUGAUGGGGCAUGGGGAUUGUCCUCUAAUAUUGGCAGUCCAACUGCAAUGGAGUCUGGGGUUACAGGCAGAGGCCAAUCCGCUUUGGCUGAGAUUAUACAUCUUUUAGUUCCUGAUUCAAAGUAUGGAUCUCAGAGACCGUGUCAAGAACAUGACAAACCCUGUUUUCAGGUUCCUAAUUCUUCUAGAUUGUUGUAUAACUCAGCAGUACGGGCCAAACUGAAAUCCUUUUUUGCCUUUGAAGAUGCUUCUCUCAAUGAUGCUAUGGUUCAUAGCAUCAUGGCCUUCAAUUAAACUACUCAUGUCAGUUAAUGCAAAAAUUAUCCAAGUUUGUGAGACUUGCCAUUCUGGGAUCUGUGGAGUUGUUUAAAUUCCAGAUGAGGUGAUCUACUGAGUUGCUUGGCUGUAGCUGUUUCCAGCAAAAUUGCUAAUGACUUCUAUGAGUUGCGCCGGGUCUGCGAGGAUCUUAAAAGAAUUUGCAACUCCAUUUGGCAGUGAAGGAAAGAUAUUGUCGCUGUUAUUUUUAUAAAUUUUUAAGCCAUGAGAUACUGUUAAAUGAUGAGGAAAUGGAAUUGAGGUGACAAACAAGGGUUCUUCUUCGUCAUAAAAAGAAGAAGAAGAAGAAAAGUGUGUUUUCUUCUAUAGGUAUAUCCAACGCAUGUAUCUGGAUUCUGGAUGGAUGGAAAAUGGGGUGAUGAUUCGGCCUUUUCUAUGCUGAGUCUUGGAGACUUGCAGAAAUCUCAAGCAAUCCUGUACGGCCGUAUACCCAAGCAGAUAGACAAAUAAAAAACCCUCAUUUCUAACAUCAACUGUUUAAAUGACUUUCAGGAAGCUGGGAUUGCUGAUCUGCGAUCUCCAAGUUAUAGUAAGGCCCUGUUUGGGGGAGCUGUUGGCAGUAGAGCUGUUGGAAGUAGAGCUGUCUGAAGU